rnacentral:rRNA from 1 species
UACGGAGGUGCAAGCGUUGUUCGGAAUUAUUGGGCGUAAAGGGCGCGUAGGCGGUUGUGAUAGUCAGAUGUGAAAUCCUCCGGCCUAACUGGAGAACUGCAUCUGAAACUUCAUAGCUAGAGUACAGGAGAGGGAAACGGAAUUCCCGGUGUAGAGGUGGAAUUCGUAGAUAUCGGGAGGAACACCAGUGGCGAAGGCGGUUUCCUGGCCUGAUACUGACGCUGAGGUGCGAAAGCGUGGGUAGCAAACAGGAUUAGAUACCCGGGUAGUCCCU